UGCUUUGCAACUUCUCUCGCCUUUCGUUGCUUUUAUGUCUGCGCCACGUGAUCACAGCCGUGGAAUGGGCCGCUUGCAUAUCGAUUAAUGGGAUCGAUGUAUGCGAUCGAUCGUCAGUUUUGUGGGCAAAUUCGUGGGGAAAAAGGUCCGAAAUCAGAAUCCACGGGGAUCACAGAGCUUCAGAGCUCAUUUGGCGCCAGCAGAACCUCAGAGCUCCUUCGACACCCACAGAACUACAACUACUUUCACCUACA
rnacentral:misc_RNA from 1 species